AUGGAAUCAUUCUGUGAACAACCUGAAGCCUUCAGCAGCAAUCAGUUAUUUAUGAAGGUAAUAAAUGGACAUAACUGUUUAUUCAUUGCAGGUACGCCUGUGUCUGGAGGAGACGGAGGGCAAUUUUCAAAUUUCAUCCACAUGAUGGAUGUGGAAGGGAAGCUAUGGGAUAUGAGGACACCCAACCAGAAACAAGCUGCCUUUUUGUUGUUAAUAGCCAGGAAGUCUCUGUGGUGCAGAUGUGACAGCAACAGCAAAACCUAUUUCGAGGUCCUGUCCCAUGAAGUAGCUGUGACUACAAAUUGCUCCUUAAUAAUUUCAUCUACCAUAUAAACUUGCUGGGUAAGAAUUUUGUACAGGUUUAUUUCUCACUUUCCUAGGGCUAGUCUUACAGUAUUUGCAGUUGUCUUUUACUGGGAAUGCAAGUUUUAAGCUUUUCAAAUGUCAAGAGCUACUGAGAAAUAGUGGGAAAAACAAUCAAACAAACAGAAAAAACAAGCAUCAGAAAUCAGAAUGUAAAUAAACCCCCUCAGACUUAUAAUUCUCA
rnacentral:lncRNA from 1 species